UGGGACCUUGAGUUUAAAAGCUACAGUUGCACUCUGUGUGUCUAGAAUAAUAACAGAGGCACACACUAAAGUCUGAAUAGCUAGAGAGAAGCUCUAACACUGGGAUUAUUUUAAGAUAAUCAGAAGUUAAUAAAUGACAGAAGGGUUGACUAUAUACAAAAACCUUUUUGCACCAGCAAAUUCUACCCAAGGCAGGCUAGGGGAAUUCCCUGAAGUAAAUUAAUUCAGUACAGUAUCUCUGGGAAAUGAUCAGUAAAUAAUCAGGGGGUAGUUCUAUUACAUGCUUGAAGUACCUAUUUAGUA
rnacentral:lncRNA from 1 species